UAAGCGGGAAACCCGUUCCAAGAUAAGAUUUCUCACCGGGUUAACCGGGUAAGGCCCCCAGCUAGAUGACUGGGUUGAUAGGCCGGAUGUGGAAGCAUGGCAACAUGCGGAGCUGACCGGUACUAAUAAGCCAACUACUUGAUAACA
rnacentral:rRNA from 1 species